AAUCAAAAAAUGCACGGAAACAUGCCACAGUUAGCUGUCUGAAUUUAAUAGCAGCUGAUUGCCAGUAUUUCAUUCUUAAAUGAAAUGCUAGUUUCCCAGAACAACCGACAGGAUAGGAAGUCCGUUGCCUGUGUGUCCCAAGGGGAUGAUAGGCUUGGGAUGUCGAAAUAUUGGUCAACAAUU
rnacentral:snoRNA from 1 species